rnacentral:snRNA from 2 species
AUACCUUUCUCGGCUUUUUGGCUAAGAUCAAGUGUAUAUCUGAUAUGUGGGUCAAGCACUCACAAGGAUAUUAAAUUUAUUUUUUGGGAGAGCUCAUCAUAGUGGCUUGCCACUAGGGUUCUCAGGUGUCACCUAAAUUUUGCACUACUUCUUAGGCUUGGCGCGCCCCAA